UACGAAGGGUGCAAGCGUUACUCGGAAUUACUGGGCGUAAAGGGUGCGUAGGUGGUUGUUUAAGUCUGCUGUGAAAGCCCCGGGCUCAACCUGGGAAUGGCAGUGGAUACUGGACAGCUAGAGUGCGGUAGAGGGUAGUGGAAUUCCCGGUGUAGCAGUGAAAUGCGUAGAUAUCAGGAGGAACACCUGUGGCGAAAGCGGCUCACUGGACCAUAACUGACGCUGAUGCACGAAAGCUAGGGGAGCAAACAGG
rnacentral:rRNA from 1 species